GCGGAUGGCCGGAUGGCCACGUGUCCCGGAUUCGUCCGGAAUGCGAGGAAAGUCCGGACUCCAUGAAGCAACGGUGCCGGGUAACGCCCGGCCGGGGAAACCCGAGGGAAAGCGCCACAGAAAACAGGUGGCCCCGGCUUCGGCCGGGGUGACAGUGAAACGGUGGGGUAAGAGCCCACCGCGGGACGGGCAACCGGACCGGCACGGCAAGCCCCACCGGGAGCAAUGCCGAAUAGGGGCCUCGCGUCCCGGAGCGAUCCGGGGCAGGGCGGCUUCGGCCCAGAGGUCCGGGUUGGCAGCUAGACCCCGGCGGCGACGCCGGGGCCAGAUGAAUGGCCAUCCAGGGCGCGGCGCAAGCGGCGCCCGGACAGGAUCCGGCUUACAGGCCAUCCGCGCGC
rnacentral:RNase_P_RNA from 1 species